CCUCCCUGCCUCCUUUCUCUCCAUCACUUCUCUUUCCUCUCCUCCGACCCACGUGACUGCAGAGCAUCUAUCUCCGGUGCUGGAAGCCGGAGCGGAGAAAAGAGAGGCGCGGGAUGGAGAUGGAGAUGGUGGGAUGGAGGGAUGGAAUGGAUGGGAGCCGGAGCGCAGCGCAGCGCAGCGCGGAGGAGGAGGAGGAGGCGCAGAGGCUCUGUCGCCCCCGGGGUGAUGCUCGCUCUCUCGGAAGUGUGUCCAAGCGUUUUCUUUUGCGUUUCUGUGCGUGAUGGAUGAGAACAACCGGAGGAGGAGGAGGAGGAAGGAGUUCCCAACAGGUCGCUGUGGUCAAACCCUGAAGGGUCUCACACACACAUGCACACACACACACACACACACACACACACACACACCUUUUGCAGAGUCGAGCCUCUGGCCGAUUGUGUGUUUGUGACGUCACUGACAUGUCCCGUAAUGUCCUUUACAGGUGCGGACCAGCUGUCGGUGCGGCACUGUUACCGAGCAGCGUGGAGAGAGAGGGAGAGAGAAAGAGAGAGAGGGAGAGAGGGAGAGAGAAAGAGAGAGAGGGAGAGAGAGAGAGGAGAAGGAGGAGGGGAAUCGGAGAGUGCUGCACCUGGCCUUACAAUUAAAGGAUAUUUCUUGCGACAGAAUGAGACUCAGAAAUGUCUUUUAAUUGUUUGACUACGUGUGGUGUGAAAUGCUGAGAGAAAGCUCCGCGGGUUCCCACCACGGUCCGUCUGGAGAAGCUCUUCUGGAUCUUCAGCCCGUUCCACACUCCCACUAAUGCAGUUUCAUUUUAAAGCUGAGAUGGUGAGAAAAUUAAAUAAAUAAAUAAAUAAAUAAAUAAAUAAAUAAGACUGACAUUGUGGUUAGUUUAACUUUGUUUUCUUGUGAUUGAACUAGAAUUUGUACGUGGAGGUUUUCUUGUUUAAAGUGGUUUCUGCUUUUCUGUGAGACGGUGAAGUUGCUCCUCAGUCUGAAUUAACAUCAGUGAGUUCUUAAGAGAUUCGGAUGCAGAUCAAUUUGACCAACAUUGACACCCGUUUUAACUUUAUCCUCAGACGGGAAAAUGAUCUCAUCUCCCAACCGGAUACAACUUUGUUUGAGCCAUGAUUUCUAAGACUCUUCUUUUUUUUCUCAUUCAUUAUUUUUCAAACUUUGAAUUAAACGUUAAAAUGUGUGUGUGUGUGUGUGUGUGUGUGUGUGUUUAAAGUUUCCUCCAAGAAUUUAACCAAUAAUCUUCUUCACUGAGAACAACCUCUUGUGACCUGCAGCUACCCUGAGAUUAACCAUUGAUUCGUUGGAUUGUUCAGUGCAGAACUACGGUUUUUUUUUUUUUCAAUUCCAACUUCAUGUGGUUCUCCAGAGAAAAGAUUAUCCUUUGAUUUUCACCCAUCAAACGUUUGAAAAAACAUAAUUUUAACGUUUUACUCGAGUUUUUCUGAUCACAGAAUGCAUCUUGUUGAUUUAAGAAUCGGAUAUUUCUUCCUUUUUCAAUGUCUUAAUAACAGUUUUGAUACUUUUGUUUGUUUGCUUUCGUCGUAGAAUAAACCAGCCUAGUUUGAACUUAUUUGACAAGAAGGAUCCAAACCAAAAACGGACAUUUAAAUAUUUCCAGUUAACUCUCCCACAGAGAGAGUUAAUAAACCCAC